AACUAAUAAGCUUUAAGAAGCAUAUGUUUUGAAAGCAUAAGAUAAAGAUAAUCUUUAUUAGUUU
rnacentral:tRNA from 1 species